rnacentral:rRNA from 1 species
UAGGGAAUAUUGGACAAUGGGCGCAAGCCUGAUCCAGCCAUGCCGCGUGAGUGAAGAAGGCCCUCGGGUUGUAAAGCUCUUUUGUCCGGAAAGAAAAGCAUCGGGUUAAUACCCCGGUGUUCUGACGGUACCGGAAGAAUAAGCACCGGCUAACUUCGUGCCAGCAGCCGCGGUAAUACGAAGGGUGCAAGCGUUACUCGGAAUUACUGGGCGUAAAGCGUGCGUAGGUGGUUCGUUAAGUCUGAUGUGAAAGCCCUGGGCUCAACCUGGGAAUGGCAUUGGAAACUGGCGGACUGGAGUGCGGUAGAGGGUAGCGGAAUUCCAGGUGUAGCAGUGAAAUGCGUAGAGAUCGGGAGGAACAUCCGUGGCGAAGGCGGCUACCUGGACCAGCACUGACACUGAGGCACGAAAGCGUGGGGAGCAAACA